rnacentral:rRNA from 1 species
UACGUAGGGUGCAAGCGUUAAUCGGAAUUACUGGGCGUAAAGCGUGCGCAGGCGGUUCGCUAAGACAGAUGUGAAAUCCCCGGGCUUAACCUGGGAACUGCAUUUGUGACUGCAUCGCUGGAGUGCGGCAGAGGGGGAUGGAAUUCCACGUGUAGCAGUGAAAUGCGUAGAUAUGUGGAGGAAUACCGAUGGCGAAGGCAGCCCCCUGGGAUAACACUGACGCUCAUGCACGAAAGCGUGGGGAGCAAACAGG